rnacentral:tRNA from 1 species
CAGGACAUAGCUAAAAUCAUAGCCCUUCCCUUACACUGAAAAGUUGCCCGUGCAAGUCGAGCUGUUCUGA